UAUCUCUGUAGAGUCUGCAUAUCAAUAAGCGGAGGAAAAGAAACUAACUAGGAUUCCCUCAGUAACGGCGAGUGAAGCGGGAAGAGCUCAAAUUUGAAAUCUUCAAGGUUCUACCUUGACGAAUUGUAGUUUAAAGAAGUGUUUUCUGUUGGAGUUUUGGUAAAAGUUCUUUGGAAUAGGACAUCAUAGAGGGUGAGAAUCCCGUAUUUGACCAUUAUUUCCAACUUUGUGAUACACUUUCAAAGAGUCGGACUGUUUGGGAAUGCAGUCCAAAAUGGGUGGUAAAUUUCAUCUAAAGCUAAAUACUGGCGAGAGACCGAUAGCGAACAAGUACCGUGAGGGAAAGAUGAAAAGAACUUUGAAAAGAGAGUUAAACAGUACGUGAAAUUGUCAAAAGGGAAGCGUUUGACACCAGUGUUGUUUUCUCGAAAAUCAAUUAGAAAUGGCGGGAUUUUGUGUUGUAUUGACUUUAUCAGCUUUCUGCACUUUUUUCUUGUCUUUUUUUAUGCACUUUUCGUUUAACAAGUCAACAUCAAUUUCUUUUGUUGUAAAAGGGUCAUUGGAAGGUGGCUUUCUUUUCGGAGAAAGUGUUUAUAGCCUUUGACUUCUGCAAUCGGAGAGAUUGAGGUCUGCAGCGUAGAUCCUUCGGGGUUAGAUGCAUUUGUGCUAAGUUAUAGCCUUUCAUAGACAACUUGUUGACUAUGUUCAGUCAUGUAGCUUACUCGCUUAUGUUAUUUUACCUACGCUUAGGAUGUUGAUCUCUCACAGUCGAGC
rnacentral:rRNA from 1 species